AUGCAAGUCGAACGNUCCCUUUGAAUUACUUGAAACUUCGGUUGAUUGUAUUUCUUUUUGGGAUAGUGGCAAACGGGUGAGUAACACGUGGAUAACCUGCCUUAAAGUCAUGAACAGCUCAUCGAAAGAUGGGAUAAUACAUGAUGGUCUUACAAUUUCUAUCCGACUUUGUAAGUAAAGCUCCGGCGCUUUAAGAGGGGUCCGCGUCCUAUCAGCUUGUUGGUGAGGUAAUAGCUCACCAAGGCUAAGACGGGUAGCUGGCGUGAGAGCGCGGUCAGCCACCAUGGAACUGAGACACGGUCCAUACUCCUACGGGAGGCAGCAAUUAGGAAUCUUGCGCAAUGGGGGCAACCCUGACGCAGCGACACAGCGUGGAGGACGAAGGUCUUCGGAUUGUAAACUCCUUUUAUAUGGGAAGAAUAGAUGACGGUACCAUAUGAAUAAGCACCUGCUAACUACGUGCCAGAAGCAUCGGUGAUACGUAGGGUGCGAACGUUAUCCGGAUUUAUUGGGCGUAUAGAGAUGCGUAGGCGUUUCUGUAAGUCUGAAGUUAAAGCCCACGGCUUAACCGUGGAAAAGCUUUGGAAACUGCAGAAAUUGAGACAGGAAGAGGCGAAUGGAAUUCCCAGUGGAGCGGUGAAAUGCGUUGAUAUUGGGAGGAACAUCAGUGGCGAAGGCGAUUCGCUGGUCCUUGUCUGACGCUGAGGCUCGAAAGCGUGGGUAGCAAAACGGAUUAGAUACCCGUGUAGUCCACGCCGUAAACUAUGGAUGCUAGGUGUUCGGUACAACCGUUUUUUCCUUCGGGAAAAAAUGGAAGUAUUGAGUGCCGCAGCUAACGCGUUAAGCAUCCCGCCUGGGAAGUACG
rnacentral:rRNA from 1 species